ACUUCAGGUACUCACCACCGGCUCCCGAGUCUGCACCUUUUUCUCUCUCUUUGCAAGCCAUCGGUUUCAGAGAGAGAGAGUGGUGGCAAUGGCGGCAAAGCUAGACUUCCCAGAAAGACUCGAAACCCAGAUCUGAUUCGUGGGGUGGGCAAGUUCUCCAGGUCCAAGAUGUAACACAAGCGCGGCCUUUGGGCCAUCAAGGCCAAAAACGGCGGCGUUUUUCCCCGCCAUGACCCGAAGCCAACGGCUGAGACCGGGCCGGAAAAGGCCCCCAAGUUCUACCCUGCCGAUGACGUCAAGAAGCCGCUCGUCAACAAGCGCAAGCUCAAGCCUACCAAGCUCAGGGCUAGUGUUACACCAGGUACGGUGUUGAUUAUAUUGGCGGGAAGGUUUAAGGGCAAGAGAGUUGUUUUUCUUAAGCAGCUUCCAUCUGGGUUGCUUCUCGUUACUGGGCCAUUCAAAAUUAAUGGUGUUCCUUUGAGACGCGUGAACCAGUCCUAUGUGAUUGCCACUUCCACCAAGGUUGACAUUUCUGGGGUGAAUGUCGAGAAGUUUGAUGACAAAUACUUUGCAAAGCAAGUGGAGAAGAAGAAAAAUAAGGGAGAGGGAGAAUUUUUUGAGGCAGAGAAAGAGGAAAAGAAUGUGUUCCCACAAGAAAAGAAAGAUGAUCAGAAAAGUGUGGAUGCCUCAUUGAUAAAGUCGAUUUACGCCGUCCCAGACUUGAAGACAUACUUAGCAGCGAGAUUCUCUCUUAAGUCAGACAUGAAGCCGCACGAGCUUGUCUUUUAGAUGAUUAUCUCGUUUUUAUUACUUACUCUUGAGAAUUUUCUGGGCUUAGACUGUCUGUUUAAGAUUUCUCAGCGGUUUUAUGUUUUCAUUUUGUCGGCAUAUCCAACAUGAUGUAUUUUAUUUGUUUUAGAGUUGUAAGGGUAUAUUCGUCUUUUAUCUCACUAAGCUGUUAUCUUAAGUAGAUCAUCACACUUUAGUGGUGCAUAGUGUAAGUUUUUCUUUUGCUACUAGUGCAAAAAGUUUUUUUAUAUCAAAGAAUGCAUGGAUUGCAUUA